AGUGCAUUUACAGUUGUUGGAAAGUAGAAGCAGUUGAACAUCUAAGUUUUCGAGAUUAUUUUGAUAAAUCUGACUCAGCAAAAGUGAUCGUAAAUCGAGGCCAAAAUACGUAUUCAGUACAGAUUGGGCUUAGACAGAUGCAUAACUCAGACCGCAUAUGCCCAACCCCGUCAUGGUCUGAUCGAAUUCACCAUUCAUUGAGUAUACUUGCACCGGAGCUACACAUGUCUACAUGCCACAGCUUCUAGAGCACAUUGGGGAUCAAAAUAAAGAAAGAUCAUGUGUAGUUGGGGAAGAAUUCCAAAAACUUUCCAAAUCGGGCGUUCCCUUCCCCAGCCGUCCGUGAUGUUUUUGUGCUUCCACCUCCCUCCGCGUGCGCCUCUUCCCAGCAUCCGCACGACCCAGCAAUCCGCGAUCACCUCCGAAGCAUUCGUCCCAUGUCCGUGAUCAUCUCCCGGACCUCCCAGCAGCCGCGAUCACCGCCCGGCCGUCUGCCACCGCCCAGCUUCUUCCCGGCCGUCCGCUCCUCUCGCACAACCAGAUCUGCAACGCGUCCCAGCUACCCCGUAAUCAUCCCGCGAUCAACGCUCCCAUGCCCGCGAUCAGCUCCAGCGCCCGAGCCUGUGAAGCCUCCCAGCAUCCCGUCUCCACCGUGUCCGCUUCUCCCGUGCUCUCAGCCAUCUGCCGUGAUACGCCCUCAAUCUCCUCCACAGCAUCCGCCCGAGCCGAAGAUCACAGCAUUCCGUGAAGCGUCGCACCCAUCAGCGCCGGAUUCACUCCGUUGUCACCUCCUCUCCACGCGCGAUCAGGGGAAUCCUAGCUUGUCCAUGGGCUCCGGGGCGAUCUAUAUGAAGAGGGCCUUCUCGGCUGGGAGGGGGGGCCGGCAUCCGAAGAGAAAAGAAGAGUGAAAACAGAGGAAGAAAGAGAGGGAAACAGGGUAUGCCCUGUUUCCGGAAAUAAAAAAAAGAGAGAAAUAGAAAAAAAAAAUAUGAGGAGGCUUAUUUCUUUGAUGGAGGGCUGAUAUCCUAGGUGAUGGGUGAAGGGAGAUCAUUUGGUGUACCAAAUUCUUGAUGUAAAUUCUAAUCUUUU